AGAGUUUGAUCCUGGCUCAGGACGAACGCUGGCGGCGUGCCUAAUACAUGCAAGUGGAACGCAUCUUCUCUCCCGUUUCUUCGGAAACACCUGAGAAGAUGAGUCGCGAACGGGUGAGUAACGCGUAGGUAACCUGCCUGAUAGCGGGGGAUAACUAUUGGAAACGAUAGCUAAUACCGCAUAAUAGUAUUUACUGCAUGGUAGAUACUUGAAAGGAGCAAUUGCUUCACUAUCAGAUGGACCUGCGUUGUAUUAGCUAGUUGGUGGGGUAAGGGCUCACCAAGGCAACGAUACAUAGCCGACCCGAGAGGGUGAUCGGCCACACUGGGACUGAGACACGGCCCAGACUCCUACGGGAGGCAGCAGUAGGGAAUCUUCGGCAAUGGGGGGAACCCUGACCGAGCAACGCCGCGUGAGUGAAGAAGGUUUUCGGAUCGUAAAGCUCUGUUGUAAGAGAAGAACAGGUGUGAGAGUGGAAAGUUCACACUGUGACGGUAUCUUACCAGAAAGGGACGGCUAACUACGUGCCAGCAGCCGCGGUAAUACGUAGGUCCCGAGCGUUGUCCGGAUUUAUUGGGCGUAAAGCGAGCGCAGGCGGUUUCUUAAGUCUGGAGUAAAAGGCAGUGGCUCAACCAUUGUACGCUCUGGAAACUGGGGAACUUGAGUGCAGAAGGGGAGAGUGGAAUUCCAUGUGUAGCGGUGAAAUGCGUAGAUAUAUGGAGGAACACCGGUGGCGAAAGCGGCUCUCUGGUCUGUAACUGACGCUGAGGCUCGAAAGCGUGGGGAGCAAACAGGAUUAGAUACCCUGGUAGUCCACGCCGUAAACGAUGAGUGCUAGGUGUUGGGUCCUUUCCGGGACUCAGUGCCGCAGCUAACGCAUUAAGCACUCCGCCUGGGGAGUACGGCCGCAAGGCUGAAACUCAAAGGAAUUGACGGA
rnacentral:rRNA from 1 species